AGUGCUGCUCAACCUGUACCGGAAUCCACAGAACACAGCCCAAACUGCAGACGGAUCACACUGAGGUGUUCACAGAACUGCAGGAGAAGUAUGGGGAGAUUGAAGAGAUGAAUGUGUGCGACAACCUUGGGGACCACCUCGUGGGCAACGUCUAUGUCAAGUUCCGGAGGGAGGAGGAUGGAGAGCGGGCCGUGGCUGAACUCAGUAACCGCUGGUUCAACGGGCAGGCUGUGCACGGGAAUGUACCCGAGGUGGCUUCUGCAACUUCAUGCAUCUGCGGCCCAUUUCCCAGAACCUCCAGAGGCAGCUCUAUGGGCGGGGACCCAGGCGCAGGCUGGAGUGCAAAGGCGCAGUCUUGGCUCAGUGCAACCUCUGCCUCCCAGUAGAGAUGGGGUUUCACCACGUUGGCCAGCCUGGUCUCGAACUCCGGACCUCAGGCUCCCGGGCUCCAUAAUGUAAUCUGUUCAGCAUGGAGACCUUCUUCUACCGCCCCUGUCUUAAUAAAGCUGCGUGUUUCACUUCGGC
rnacentral:lncRNA from 10 species